rnacentral:lncRNA from 1 species
GUCCUGAAGUUAGGGUUUGUUUUAUCAUGGAGAGCUCUGAAAUUGCCACUCGACAAGCAUAAUUAUAGUAGUUUUUCUGUGAUUUUGGGCGGUUUCUUGCCGCAUAAUCACGGUAAGUGUGGCCGAGAAACCAUUGUUUUCAUCUACCCUGCCUGGAGUGAUUAGCGGUAAUCGACGAGCAAGUGCAUGUGGCGGUGGAUGGGGGCGGCGGACGGUGUGUAGCAUCACCAUGUUUAAU